AUCAUUUAGUAGUCAUUCUGAACUAAAUUAUUUACAUUCCUAUGAAUAUUUCUUAAAAUAUGUUCAGCGUCUUCUUCUUCUUGUUCGUCUUGCGAUUUUAGACGAAAAGACGAAACCCUCAGCCCUCAGCAAACCAGCAUUAUUGAUAAGUUUCUCCUUUAGGUACAAAAGAGGAAUGUAGUAAACGGGACUCUUGCAAUAUACAGUAAAGAUAUGGAUACAAAAAUACCAACGAAAUGAAAAAAUAAAGACGGUAACAUGAUUGCAUUACAGGAGGGAAUUUCAUCACAGCAUUCCAUUGCAUUGAAGCUGAAUAAAUUUAUUUUGGAAAAACGGAAGGGCAACAUCAACAAGAAAAGACACAACAACAAAAACAACUAUAACAACACAGAAGGCUGCCACGAAAUAUUUCGUAUCUACCCAACACAGCUAGUAGAGAUACUUAAGGUGAAAUAUUAAAACAGAAGGGAAUACGUUUUACAGAAAGUAUGGUAUGUAUGCCUAUGAAUUCUAUGAUUUUGGAAUUUGUUAUUAAAAUAUUAUGUAUACAUUAUACAUAUUAUAUUAUAAAUAUAUGUACAUAGAGUCAUGGUCAUACAAUUAAGCCACAAAACGAAUGUACCCUGUUCCCUUCAAUAAAGCUUUCCUGUAUUACUUUGUGUCUGUUUUUUUUUUAACGGUUAACAACUAACAUUAUCUCAAUAUGAAAACCGU